GAUGAACGCUGGCGGCGUGCCUAAUACAUGCAAGUCGAGCGAACAGACGAGGAGCUUGCUCCUCUGACGUUAGCGGCGGACGGGUGAGUAACACGUGGAUAACCUACCUAUAAGACUGGGAUAACUUCGGGAAACCGGAGCUAAUACCGGAUAAUAUAUUGAACCGCAUGGUUCAAUAGUGAAAGACGGUUUUGCUGUCACUUAUAGAUGGAUCCGCGCCGCAUUAGCUAGUUGGUAAGGUAACGGCUUACCAAGGCAACGAUGCGUAGCCGACCUGAGAGGGUGAUAGGCCACACUGGAACUGAGACACGGUCCAGACUCCUACGGGAGGCAGCAGUAGGGAAUCUUCCGCAAUGGGCGAAAGCCUGACGGAGCAACGCCGCGUGAGUGAUGAAGGUCUUCGGAUCGUAAAACUCUGUUAUUAGGGAAGAACAAAUGUGUAAGUAACUAUGCUCGUCUUGACGGUACCUAAUCAGAAAGCCACGGCUAACUACGUG
rnacentral:rRNA from 1 species